GGCAUCCAGUAUUUUGGGGUCCACGGAAACGGGUCGUUUUCCUAUCGGCAGUAGCAGUUGAAAUGGAAGUCCGGAAAAAUGAUGGCAACACCGAAGGCAUACUGCGGCAGUUCAACUUGGCUUGCAGCUCUUUUAAGAAUUGGACGUCUCGGGUUCCUCGAGAAGUGAUCGAGGACGCCUUCCCAAACAUCGAUCCUCCUCAGGACGCGCUCGGUCUUCUCAGGCUCAUCAAACGCUGCACGUU